UUAUUUAAAUUUGUGUAAGUUUUAAAUACAAAACAAAUGUGAGAGCUAUUCUAAUGUUACAUUGAAACAAAUGUAGAUCAGAGAUGUUUGUUGUAAAGAAGUACGUAUACAAGAUUCAAAAACAGGUCCCUCUUAUCUAAUAUGACAUGUUUCCUGUGAAGCUAUAUUAACUGUAUGUUAAAGACUAUGAUCUCCUAAUUAACCAUUCUAGGGAGGAAGAAAGAGAUCUUUUAGGCUCAAUAAUCCUUGUAAUAUGUUCAACAAAUUUGAAUCUAAAACUAUAGACUUUAAUUUAUUGGGAGUUAGCCAUCUAUAUGAUGGCUGCAAAACACCCAGGAAAAAUGUGGUCGUGGAUAAUAACCCAUGAUAACAGAGAGAAAUUAGCUAUCUAGUUAAUGAGGUUAAGCUACAGUAUCCUCUUCGUCAUCAUGAGCUAAACCACUGGGAUCUUGUAUGCAGAAAUGGCUGGGAUAUUUUUACAGAGUCUCAGAAAUUUAGAGAAGCAGCCUUCAGUGAAAAGAGUCAGAAAAUUGAACUGUUGGAAUGAAAAUCUAAACCGGAACUAUAGUCUCUGAUUGUAGUGGUGUAUAAUUUGAGAUCAUUCCUCACUUACUAAAUGGUUCUGUGGUUCAUCAUUCAUUAAGAACAUUUGAGAAGGUUAAAACUGGUGAAGUUUCAGGGGAAUAAGCAAACAGCAAGUUUUUUGGCCCAUUUGUUUCACUACAAAAAUCUUCCCAUACCAUAAAAUAUUUAUAACAGAACUUUAAGUAAUAAAAAGGAUUAUUUUCUUUCCAUUCCAUGGUUCCUAUUCUGUUCAGUUUUGCCAGUAGAAAUAACAUUAAUAACUUUAACAAUCAAGCCAGUUUUUAACUGUGUCACGUUUAAUACCCUUCAUCUCAGAGAGUUGGAUUUUUCAAGAAAGAAUCUAGUAAGUAUGAAGCUGUUUUGACCUAAUUAGCAAAGUAGCGAGCUUAAUUAUGAGUGAUUCUGAGAAAGCAUUUUAUUGCUGAAAAGAAAAGCAACAAAUCAGUUGUAACUUUCAAUGUCCCAUUGAACUUUAUGACAUCAUUUGUAGUAUAAACCACUGACAUAAUCUGGCUCUGAUUUUGAGUCCUCAAGGAAGGGUGGUUGUGACAGUGCCCUUUGAAAUAACAUUGAAGCUUCGGCUCCCAUGUCAAUAUCAUGCUCUAAUCAGUGCAGUCUUUAUUGUUGCAGGGUCUUCCACCUUAUAAUUGACCCUGACAUAUGCUAUUCACUCUGCCCCUUGGCUUCGGACAUAUAAUUUCUGUCAUGGUCAAUUAUUAGGUAAUAGAGGCAGCAACCACAGGGACCAUUGCUUAAAAUCAUCCUACACAGUAAGCCCUGAAGUCACCAAAUCCAAAUAUAACUGGAGGGGAAGAAGGGAUCUAGUCUUUGAUAAAACUAAUAUUCUUUUCACUUCUAUAUAGAAAAAUGUCAAUUUCCAUUGUCCUGUAUAUUACUGAGACAAAUGGUGGCAGUGCUAUUUCUGAAACAGGUUAAGAAAAAGUACAAAAACCAUUACCAAACUCAACAUACUCUGAAAUAAGGAAAUUGUCUGUAUGAGCAUACAGUAUGCAUAAAAAUUAGAUUACACUACAUUUGAAAGGCAGAUGAGAGUUUAAGUGACAAGUGGGCAAGUGCUAAAAAUAAGGGCAUGUUACUUCCUUUCCAACACUGCUUUGUCUAUAUGCUUUCUUUAAUGUUGUUUAAGCCUUGAAGUAAAGAAAUGCUUUUCGAGAGUCUGAAAGAUACUUGUGAUUACCAUAUUGAUAAGAACCGGUUUUGAACAAAAAGGUCUCUUCUUCUUGUCCCAUAGGUUCUGUAGUGCCUGAGAAAUUGGGCAAAGACAAAAACCAGGACACCUGCUCUCUGGUUUUCAUGUAAGCAUUAUGAUUUUCAAAAACAUACGGGUUUGCAGUCAUUGUACUACUGCAAUAACAUUAAAAAAUCUUUACAACUUCAGGAAUAAGAGCUGAUAUGAGCAAAAGUUUAUCACCCAUCUGCAGAGAUUGAAAAGGAGGAUUGUGAACCAGUGGUUCACUUCAGAGAUUCUCUGUCCGUAGUCAGCUAUGCCACUAACCCAUAGGGGUAGCCUUCCCUGGUUUUUGCUGCAUGAACAUUAAUUUCAAUUUGCUAGUUGCCAUUGCCUGGUUUGGGUUGCUUAUUUUUGUUAGGUUAUUUUUUGGUUGCUUGGGUUGUGGGUUUUUUUAAAAGUAUUGAAGGGAAUUUAAACAAUCUAUAGUCUUUUCAAGUCACAAAUUAUUAUCUACAGAAUCUUCCAUUGGUUUGUUCCACUGUUGAUGAUUUACUUAAUUCUCUUAUGUGUAAGAACACAGCUCAGAAAAUAAUCCUUAAAAGACCUUUGCAAAUCUACUGUUUUACAGAUUCAACGUGUUACAAACAAACAUAUUCCACCUGUUACAGCAAUCUGGCAUAUUACUUUCUUGAUACGUGAUGAUACAAUACCUCUCAGGUUUGCUGAGUAGCAAAGAGAAAUGAAACCCUUCUUCUGCAGAAAUUAUUGAGAACGUGCAUGAAACUGAAAAGAAACAAAGCUGACCAAUAAUAAAUUCUUAUGAAAAUUCCACUUGUAAGUACUAUUUCAUUACUAUUUUCACUGAAGAUCUUCACAGAUAGGAAACUCUAUGUAUCGGCUCUGAUUUUCUUGAGAAUAUUUUCAUACAAGUAUACCUCUUUUCUUCCUACCAGCAUAAUAUCAGACAAUUUUCUAACACUUCUUUUACAUCGCUCAAGUGCGCACUUAUGAGAGCUUAAAAAGCAUUUCAUUAAGUUUAUCUGUCUUUGAAUGUGAGAAUAAAUUUAAUGAAUAUCAUUGAAUAGAAUUUAUGUUGUGCACAUUUUUUUAAUCUAGUUUCUGAAUAUAAAAUGUUGUACAGCUGUAUCAUUUAUAACACCAUGCUGUGCUGCACAACACUAGUUGCUAUUUAUAUAGUGCUGUAACAUACAGUGAAACCUCUGCUUAAGAAUAAUUAUUUAAGGGACUUUAAGUGACUUAGAAAGAAGAUAGCUAAAGGUGUAAUCCAGACCCUCUAGCUACUCUUCCUCCUUGUAACAUUCCAUACCUAUGUUAUUCUUGAGAAGUUUAAGUUCAAUCCACAGAAAAUUACAUUUCUAUUCCUCAAGACAUAGGAGCCAUUCAUACAGAAAUGAGAAACAAAAUGUGUACAGAAAUAAACUUUACAUCUUAUGACAGUAGCAGCAGGUUCAUAGUGUCAGGAAGAAAAAAAUUGAUGAAAGGAAGCCAAGCCUGACAAACUGAAUCGUGGCUCAUUUUAGUGUUGUUGAACUUCAUUUCACUAACAAAGCAGUGAGUUAAAAAAAGGAAAAACUAUGAAAAAUACUUUUUAUCACCAUAGUAUACUAGUUUUAAAAUAAAUGUCUAUGUACUAUAUAAAUUCGUAGAUCUCGGCAACUAUAUAGGUAUUCUUAAUUAUUUUAAAUUGGGACCAGAGAAGGGGAUUUUAGUAAAAGCUAUAUGAUCAUACAAAGGACUAGAUUUGCUAAUAAUUUGUAUGGUAGUAUGUUCCCAUACAAAAUCAAUGUAAAAAUCCAAAAAACUGCCAUAUAAGGAGUAGUAAAUUUCUACAAAUUUAAUUUGUAAUAUUUUAUGAAAUGUAGACUAUGUAUUUGAUGUUACAGAGAGAUUAUACAUAGCAUAUGGAAGAUGCACACAUUUGUAUAUAUACACAUACGUAUAUGUGUGCGCAUGUGUGUGUCUUUUUCCAUAUCCUAUCUAUGCAUAGAUUCCAUCUUCCAGUUCUUGUUUUUGUAUAAAUCAGGAGUGAUUUUGAUAAAGUCAAUGUUUAAAAUGUUGUAAGAGGUUAUCGUCAAGUCCUUUAUAUAUAGUAAACACAUAUUAACAUUUAAGAGAUGAGCCAAGACAAUACUUAACUACUCAUUUUGGGCUGUGUCCAAAUACUGGCUCACAUGCCAGCUAUUCACCAGUAUAGUAUUUAGAUAAUAUUCUUUAGCUGACAUGGGUUUAUGUUGUAAAGAAAAACCUAUAUAAUUUGAGUGUUCUUGAAAAUAGAACUUAACUUUUAUGUUAUUUAGCUGUUUUGAGCAUUUUAGCCUUGAUAUAUUCCAAUUUAUGCAUUCAAUGCAGUGAGAGUACUGCUGGAACAAGCAAUUUAACUUCCAGGAAAAUUUAGCAGAACUUUUGGGACUUAGAGCAUGUAAGAAGUCAGGCACUGUUCAAGUGAGCAUGAUAUUCACAACCCCCCAGAAAGCAUUUUUAAACCCUGAGAAAGUAUUUUUGAUUUUGCAAACAAUAUUACAAUUAUUGUCUAAAAUUUUGCUUUUGAUAUAUGUAAACGUCCUAAGGGAUUGAAAAUAUGUUACUCUUCAUUAUACGUAUUGGCUUCAGACAUCAUUAUCCACUAAAAGUCACUUCAAUUCCAGGUGUGACUAUUUGCUAUGUAAGAAGUCAAGCAGUAGUUAAUUACCCACUUAAAAAAUAAAAUUCUGUCCUUAAGACAAAAGAAGAAGGACACUUUUCAUUACAUUUCCAAUGAACUGGAACUUUUGCUUCAAAUGAUAUUCCAAAAACUUGCUUUUUGUCUUGGAACUGGGUCAGAGUUUUCCUAGCCUUGAUACAAUUGGCAUCCUUUCUCCAAAUCAAAAUAUGCCAGCCAUAGUACUUUUUCAGUAAUACAGUUAUCAUGCAGAAAAUCUUUGAUAAGGCCACAUUAUGCAACAUUUGUGCUAUAGAGAUCCAUGAACCUGCAAGGUUAUGUGACUGCGAGUAACCCCUUCUGCCAUUUGAUGUUACAAAGACUUCAAAAACUUGACUGUGAGAUAGACUUCUUUUCCCCCAAAGGCUCAACAUUCUUUUUGUGCUACAUUUUUCAGAAGAACUCUUUGUUUGAAGAAGCUGGGCAGGGUAAAGCUGGCAGACUGGAACACUGCCCUGAUGUGUUGUGACAGACAUGUAAUCUGCCAUUUGACCACUGGUUCACACAUCAGUGUUAAUGUGAAUGUGACACCUCUCACCAUACUGUUAAUCAUGUAUUACUCUUCUGUCUAAAAUGUGGAGAUGUGGAGUAGACUUUUAUUCUUUUCAGAAGACUGUGCAAAAAAAUCUAGUGAAAUGAAAAUUUACACCCAUAAAGACAAACUGAUUGACAGCUGCAAAUCAUAGUCACAGCAACAUUGAUAUAUACAUAUUUAUAGAUCCCUAGAUUUCAAAACUAAAAAAGAUCAUUAGAACAGUCUGCUUAAUCUAACGCAUUCCCACUCCAAACGUGCAAGGAGUCAAACAUGUAGUCCCAUAUCAAGUGUGAGGAAACCUAGAAGAUGGCCUUCUGUAGUCCAGAAAUGAGAUCAAUUCAGCUUCUUUUCCUCACUAACACUUUUUCGUCUCUUGGGUUUUGUUUCUUUUUCUCCUGGUGUUUCAUCACCAAAGUGCCCAGGAGUUCAUCUGCUUUCAUUCAACUGAAAUGCAUGUACCAGAUGGUGCAAAUAGCCCAGUAUAUUUCAAUCCUGUAUCCAUGUCAAAAAACAGGCAGACUGCUGCAGUUCUUGGUUGCUGCACCUCAUGGUAUCAAAGGCUGGCUAAGAAGAGUGACACUGCUUGACAAUGAAUAAGAUUUUUCAGGUCUGGCAGGGAAGUUACUUUGGAAGCUAAAAUCCUGCUUCUACUCUGUAGGAGUUGCUUUUCAUGAUUAAUUAAUUGUGUUUACGCCAAUCUACAAAGGAUAUAAAGAAAUAUAAAAACAGAGCUACAGAAAUGUGUCUAGUUAGGAUACUUUAUAUUAACUUCAUAGUAACCAUUUCAUCACCUGUGUUUUAACCAUAUUACCUACUUGCUUGUUAGAAUUAUAAUAGAAACUGAUCUAAAAUAGAAAGUUCUAUAUUGUACUUUUCAACACACUUUUACAGGAGAACCACUGCAAUCUGUGUUUGCUAUAUGAACAGCCUUGACUACUGAUCACCUUAGGUCAAUGAAGUUUGAAAGUAUCUUGAGAGCUAGGCAGUGCAGUGAAGGUCACUGGCCACUUUCAUCUUAUAACAGCUGCUUGGAAUUUGACCUCAAGACUUUCAAAAUAUCUCUGUAGUAAAGCCUUACACUUGCAAGAGCCAUAGCUCUAGAAAAAUGAUGAUAUGAGCUAUCAAAGAGUGGAGAUUUGUCUUGGGAAACAGAAACUGGAUAGUUGCAAGCUGUUUGCAGCAGGAGUUGACAUUUUCUGUGUUGGUUUUCUGACUCCUAAGUGCUGUAACAAUAGCACAGAGUACAAGAAGAGUUCUACCUUCCAAUUCAUUCUUCUAACAUGUCACUAAUCCCACAAGUAACAGAAGAUACACAUGUGAUACAUUUGGACAGCAAUGUAGUGCUUUCUCACCAUGUCCACUGUCACAUCUGCAAGAGUAUGUGUCUCUUUGAGACCAAGGCAAAGUAUUCCUAUGCCUGUUUGGAUUACCUGUGCAUUUUUUGUCUUCCCAUUGUUUACAAGCUAGAAUAUGAGAAUUUUAAAACCUGCUGGAGAAUUCUGGUUUGACUGAUUUUCGUGGUCUGUGGGAUAAUUUAUAAGUGGUCCUGGAAGGGACAACACUCUUUUACCUGUUUAACCUCCCUGUCAAACACUAAAGCUUUUCUCUGUAUUUUUUAUUUUAUUGAAAAUUCUUCAUUAUUCUGAAUCCCCAAACAAUUUUUUUUUGUCUGAAGAGACAGACACCUUAUUUGGAAAGCUGUCUUCCUUCCUGAACAAAGAAUUUCAGAACAGAAAAGAGUACCAUAGAAAAGUUCAUGUAGCUGAAAGAGCUGUCUUGCUGGAAAUUAUAGUUAGCUGCAUGUUCAUUUUGCAUAGGUGUGAGUUUACCACGUAUAUGGAUAUCCUUGUUGACAAAUAUAUGCAUAUUCAUUUAUAUAUUCAGAAGCUCUAGUUUGCCUACAGUCAUGAUGUAGCUGAUUGUUCUCAUUUGCAUUGUAGUUACAAGAGUAUAAUUUUAAACAUAGGUCAUACUGAAAAGAAUUGUUUAUUUAGCUAAAGGCAUGUAGUAGAUUAGAUAAGAAUCAUCAAACAGGCCGUGGCAGCAAUUUAUGUUUAAUGGAAAGGUGUGAAAAAUAAGUCAAGAGAGAAAUGUUAUUUAAUAUGAUAGAUGGAAGUGGCAUUAAGACUAGUGGGAUGAAGGUAAAAAAAUAAAGUUUAAUCUGUCUACCUGAAAAAUUCUGGAGAGCAAACUAGUUGCACUAAACAACUGUAUAAUCUCUAUGGGUAAGCAUUAACAGUCCAAUCGCUUGAGAUUUUUGAAAGGCCAAAGGAGCAGCAAAAUACAUGUUGUGGAAGAAGCUUGAAUUGGCAGGUAGAUAGAUUAGCUGACCUAUUAGUUCUUUUCUAUUGCAAACUUCUAUGAUUUUGUGUGGGGAAAAUUCCUUUUCAACCCACGCUGGCAAUCUGUUUAUGUUCUGAAGUAUGAUGAUUGACAUCCCUUUUAACUUUUAACCUAGAGAAUGUCUCUGCAAGUGUUAUUCCUACAUAUAAAUGUCUAAUGCUUUUAAUAAAAAAAAAAGUCUCUCAAUUAGGGGACUGUAUCCAUGUGCAAAUGCAGAAUGGAGAUCACAACAGAGUCUGAGGUGUUAUCGCGGCAUGGGCAGCACUCCCACUCAGGAAGGAUGGGGCGGUGAGAAGGAAAAGGGAGCAUUUGGGGCUUUAAAGUCUAGAGAGAGAAUGAAGGCAAACAAGAGAAAAGGGGAUAAAAACAGUCAGAAAGAAGGGUAUAAUUUUUGUUGAAAAGGGGAAUAGAUAAAUGGGAAAGAAAAGAAAAGAGAGAAAUGGCAAGGUUGAAAGGUUUAAGAAUAGAGAAGCAAGAUAGGAGGGGAGAACUAAUUUAUGGAGUAGAAGAACAAGGAGAACAAAUAAGGAUGUACUCCUGUUAUUAUGGUACCAGAGUAACUUCCACCCUUUAAGUGUUUACCUUUGGUUCAUCUACAUGGAGGCUUAAAUUUUUUUUUCAUUUCAAAUGGUGUAAUAUGCCGUAAGCAUCACUGAAGCACACUCCUUA